rnacentral:rRNA from 2 species
UGUGAACUCGAAGAGUAGGGCGGGACACGUGGUAUCCUGUCUGAAUAUGGGGGGACCAUCCUCCAAGGCUAAAUACUCCUGACUGACCGAUAGUGAACCAGUACCGUGAGGGAAAGGCGAAAAGAACCCCGGCGAGGGGAGUGAAAAAGAACCUGAAACCGUGUACGUACAAGCAGUGGGAGCCUCUUUAUGGGGUGACUGCGUACCUUUUGUAUAAUGGGUCAGCGACUUAUAUUCUGUAGCAAGGUUAACCGUAUAGGGGAGCCGAAGGGAAACCGAGUCUUAACUGGGCGUUAAGUUGCAGGGUAUAGACCCGAAACCCGGUGAUCUAGCCAUGGGCAGGUUGAAGGUUGGGUAACACUAACUGGAGGACCGAACCGACUAAUGUUGAAAAAUUAGCGGAUGACCUGUGGCUGGGGGUGAAAGGCCAAUCAAACCGGGAGAUAGCUGGUUCUCCCCGAAAGCUAUUUAGGUAGCGCCUCGUGAACUCAUCUUCGGGGGUAGAGCACUGUUUCGGCUAGGGGGCCAUCCCGGCUUACCAACCCGAUGCAAACUACGAAUACCGAAGAAUGUUAUCACGGGAGACACACGGCGGGUGCUAACGUCCGUCGUGAAGAGGGAAACAACCCAGACCGCCAGCUAAGGUCCCAAAGUCAUGGUUAAGUGGGAAACGAUGUGGGAAGGCACAGACAGCCAGGAUGUUGGCUUAGAAGCAGCCAUCAUUUAAAGAAAGCGUAAUAGCUCACUGGUCGAGUCGGCCUGCGCGGAAGAUGUAACGGGGCUAAACCAUGCACCGAAGCUGCGGCAGCGACACUAUGUGUUGUUGGGUAGGGGAGCGUUCUGUAAGCCGUUGAAGGUGUGCUGUGAGGCAUGCUGGAGGUAUCAGAAGUGCGAAUGCUGACAUAAGUAACGAUAAAGCGGGUGAAAAGCCCGCUCGCCGGAAGACCAAGGGUUCCUGUCCAACGUUAAUCGGGGCAGGGUGAGUCGACCCCUAAGGCGAGGCCGAAAGGCGUAGUCGAUGGGAAACAGGUUAAUAUUCCUGUACUUGGUGUUACUGCGAAGGGGGGACGGAGAAGGCUAUGUCAGCCGGGCGACGGUUGUCCCGGUUUAAGCAUGUAGGCGGAGGUUCCAGGUAAAUCCGGUACCUUUUAACGCUGAGGUGUGAUGACGAGGCACUACGGUGCUGAAGUGAUAAAUGCCCUGCUUCCAGGAAAAGCCUCUAAGCAUCAGGUAACACGAAAUCGUACCCCAAACCGACACAGGUGGUCAGGUAGAGAAUACCAAGGCGCUUGAGAGAACUCGGGUGAAGGAACUAGGCAAAAUGGUGCCGUAACUUCGGGAGAAGGCACGCUGAUA